GGAGGGUUGGCUGAGUGGUUGAAAGCGGCGGUCUUGAAAACCGUUGACGGCGCGAGCCGUCCGGGGGUUCGAAUCCCUCACCCUCCGCCA
rnacentral:tRNA from 1 species